rnacentral:rRNA from 1 species
CGCGAAUGGCUCAUUAAAACAGCUAUAAUUUACUUGAUCUUGACACAAUCCUACUUGGAUAACUGUGGUAAUUCUAGAGCUAAUACAUGCAUUAAAGCUCUGACCUCACGGGAAGAGUGCAUUUAUUAGAACAAAACCAAGCGGCUUCGGCUGUUUUCGGUUGACUCAUAGUAACUGAGCUGAUCGCAUGGUCUUGCACCGGCGACGUGUCUUUCAAGUAUCUGCCGUAUCAACUUUCGAUGGUAGUGUAUCUGACUACCAUGGUGAUCACGCGUAACGGAGAAUAAGGGUUCGACUCCGGAGAGUUCGCCUGAGAAAUCGCGAACACAUCUAAGGAAGGCAGCAGGCGCGAAAAUUACCCACUCUCAGCACGAGGAGGUAGUGACGAAAAAUAACGAGACCGUUCUCUUUCGAGGCCGGUCAUCGGAAUGGGUACAAUUUAAACCCUUUAACGAGUAUCUAUGAGAGGGCAAGUCUGGUGCCAGCAGCCGCGGUAAUUCCAGCU